rfam:Rattus norvegicus chromosome 2, whole genome shotgun sequence.
UGCUUUGCGCAGUGGCAGUAUCGUAGCCAAUGAGGUUUAUCCGAGGCGCGAUUAUUGCUAAUUGAAAAAACCCAGAGCCUCAUGUCUCUUUCACUGCUGACUGUUAAAAAUGUAUGCCCCAGGUGUUGAGGUACUU